rnacentral:piRNA from 1 species
UGGGUGUCUGAUGAACCUACUGCCUUCUGGC